ACUGGGAUAACUCCGGGAAACCGGAGCUAAUACCGGAUAGUUCCUUGAACCGCAUGGUUCAAGGAUGAAAGACGGUUUCGGCUGUCACUUACAGAUGGACCCGCGGCGCAUUAGCUAGUUGGUGGGGUAAUGGCUCACCAAGGCGACGAUGCGUAGCCGACCUGAGAGGGUGAUCGGCCACACUGGGACUGAGACACGGCCCAGACUCCUACGGGAGGCAGCAGUAGGGAAUCUUCCGCAAUGGACGAAAGUCUGACGGAGCAACGCCGCGUGAGUGAUGAAGGUUUUCGGAUCGUAAAGCUCUGUUGUUAGGGAAGAACAAGUGCGAGAGUAACUGCUCGCACCUUGACGGUACCUAACCAGAAAGCCACGGCUAACUACGUGCCAGCAGCCGCGGUAAUACGUAGGUGGCAAGCGUUGUCCGGAAUUAUUGGGCGUAAAGGGCUCGCAGGCGGUUUCUUAAGUCUGAUGUGAAAGCCCCCGGCUCAACCGGGGAGGGUCAUUGGAAACUGGGAAACUUGAGUGCAGAAGAGGAGAGUGGAAUUCCACGUGUAGCGGUGAAAUGCGUAGAGAUGUGGAGGAACACCAGUGGCGAAGGCGACUCUCUGGUCUGUAACUGACGCUGAGGAGCGAAAGCGUGGGGAGCGAACAGGAUUAGAUACCCUGGUAGUCCACGCCGUAAACGAUGAGUGCUAAGUGUUAGGGGNUUUCCGCCCCUUAGUGCUGCAGCUAACGCAUAAGCACUCCGCCUGGGAGUACGUCGCAAGACUGAAACUCACAAGGAUUGACGGGGGCCCGCACAAGCGGUGGAGCAUGUGGUUUAAUUCGAAGCAACGCGAAGAACCUUACCAGGUCUUGACAUCCUCUGACAACCCUAGAGAUAGGGCUUUCCCUUCGGGGACAGAGUGACAGGUGGUGCAUGGUUGUCGUCAGCUCGUGUCGUGAGAUGUUGGGUUAAGUCCCGCAACGAGCGCAACCCUUGAUCUUAGUUGCCAGCAUUCAGUUGGGCACUCUAAGGUGACUGCCGGUGACAAACCGGAGGAAGGUGGGGAUGACGUCAAAUCAUCAUGCCCCUUAUGACCUGGGCUACACACGUGCUACAAUGGACAGAACAAAGGGCUGCAAAGACCGCAAGGUUUAGCCAAUCCCAUAAAUCUGUUCUCAGUUCGGA
rnacentral:rRNA from 1 species